UACGAAGGGUGCAAGCGUUACUCGGAAUUACUGGGCGUAAAGCGUGCGUAGGUGGUUCGUUAAGUCUGAUGUGAAAGCCCUGGGCUCAACCUGGGAAUGGCAUUGGAUACUGGCGAUCUAGAGUGCGGUAGAGGGCAGUGGAGUUCCCGGUGUAGCAGUGAAAUGCGUAGAGAUCGGGGGGAACAUCUGUGGCGAAGGCGACUGCCUGGACCAGCACUGACACUGAGGCACGAAAGCGUGGGGAGCAAACAGG
rnacentral:rRNA from 1 species